GCGUCGGUAGUGCAACGGUUCAGCACGCGCACCCAGAUAGGGUAAAAUGUGGGUUCGAAUCCCAUCUGACGUA